UCAUACAUUUGAAACAUAUCAGACUGUCAAAUUAAAUAUUUUCCAUAAAUGCACAAGCACUUGACAUUUUAACAGGUUUAAUUUUGUAGUAUUGCACAAGUCUAUAAUGGUAUAUUAGUGAUAAACCAACCAAUACUUUAUAAAUGGAAGCAGCCCCAUGGCUGCAGCAGGGAAGCGGAGCAGCAGAAGAAAUUUAAAGCCUAAAGAAGAUGCAGCUCACCAUGCAUCCACAUGCACUGAUAAAUGUGGAUUUGAGAUAAGAUAUAUCAGUCCAUAUAAAGGCCGUGGAGUAUUUAGUUGUGGACAUUAUGCAAAAGGAGAUUUUCUCUUGGAAUACAGAGGAGAACUUAUUCCUAAAGAAGAAAUGGAAAGAAGACAACGGGUUUACCAUGAUUUUUUAAAGGUUUUUAUGUUUGAGUUCAAGUUUCAUGGGAAGUGGUGGUGUUAAGUGUUGAAAUAUUGUUGAUGCAGCAAGAGAAGAUGGAUCCCUUGGCAGGCUUGUCAAUGACGACCACAUCGACCCAAAUACCAGAAUGAAGAGCAUAUCUGUGACUGGAAAGCCACAUUUGUGUUUGUUCGCAACUAAAGACAUCACUCCAGGAGAGGAGAUUACGUACAACUAUGGUGAUUCAGAGUAGCCCUGGAGACACAAGGAUGUUGUAGUCCAGGCACCUGCACUUCAGCCUAGUGUUGGUGGGGAACAGCCUGACAAUGUUAAUAAGGUAUGU